UUUAAGAUAUAUGUGGUACAGGAUUAGAUACCCCAUUAAUAUAAUUUUAAAAUUUUCUUAGUUUUUUAACUAAAAUAGUUUGGCAGCGAGCGAAUCCUAUUAGGGGAAGGUGUGUUAUAAAGGAUGAUCCGCCUAUUAAUUUACUUUUAUUAUGUUGGUGUAUAUCUGGUUUGAUAUUAUUGCUUAAUAGCUUAAUUUGUGUAUUUAUAAUUAUUUAAGCCAAGUCUAUGUGCUGCUUGUAAAAGUUUUCAUGCGUUACGUUAAUAAGUUUGGUUGUGUAAGUGGCUUAAAAAUUUAGGACUUAAAAGUAAUAUAGUAUCAGUUUGUCUGUAUGAAAAGGGUUUAGCUUGGGUACACACCGCCCGUCACCCUCGGUAA
rnacentral:rRNA from 1 species